rnacentral:lncRNA from 1 species
GCCAGGCUCAUUAAAUCCAGUGCACCUUAAGACAUUCAGGUCUGUUGACUUUCCAUGGAAGUGUAUAGGCGUGCCUGUUUAAAAUGGGUUCUUUACAAAGCCUGACAGGAUGUGGUGUAAUGUAACACAGGGAGACGGGGACUGCUCCUGAAGUACAAUGCUUGAGGCUGGGAUCCUGGCCUUUCCGGUCAACACUGGGGCAUCAAACUAGCUACCAAACGCUGCUAUCAACCCGUGCUCCGAUAGACAGGUACAGCACACACACACACACAACACACACACACACACAGAACACACACACACACAGACUGGGGCAAAUCAAACUGCUACCAACGCUGCUAUCAUCGCGUGCUCCGAGUAGACCAGUCAGACACACCACACACACACCAACAGCAACUGGGGCAUCAAACUAGCUACCAAACGCUGCGUAUUCAACACCCGUGCUCCGAUAGACCAGGUACAUACACACACCAGACUGAGCAUCAAACUAAUACCCACGCUGCUAUCCCCGUGCUCCGAGUAGACCAGACAACACACACACACCAGCCACAGACUAGGCAUCAACGAGCUACCAACGAUUCGAUCAAUCACCGUGCUCCGAGUAGACCAGGUACAGACACACACACACACAGACUGGGGCAUCAAACUAGCUACCAACGCUGCUAUCACCGUGCUUCCGAGUAGACCAGACACACACACACACAACCACACACACACAGAGAGACUGGGGCAGAACUACUACCAACGCGCUAUCCCUGCUCGAGAACCAGUACGACGACACACACAAGACUGGGCAUCAAACUAGCUACCAACGCUGCUUCACCUUGAGUCCAGUAGACCAGGUUACAGACAGACACACAAACACACACACAACUGGGGCAUCAAACUAAGCUACCAACGCUGCUAUCACCGUGCUCCGAGUAGACCAGGUACAGACACACACACACACACAGACGAGGCAUCAAACUAGCUACCAACGCUGCUAUCACCGUGCUCCGAGUAGACCGACACACCACACACACACACACACACACACACCACAUACACACAGAGAGACUGGGGCAUCAAACUAGUACCAACGCUGCUCACCUUGCUCCGAGAGACCAGGUACAGACAGACACACACACAGACUGGGGCAUCAAACUAGCUACCAACGCUGCUAUCACCGUGCUCGAGUAGUAACCAGAACACACACACACACAGACUGGGUUCAUUGAUACGUAAACCUCAAUUGUGUUGCUAUCAGAUCGGUGGGAUCAAAGUAUACUUCUGUACCAUCCAUAGUGGCUGGUCUCUGGGGCCUACUUCAUAUGCACCGAGGCCUGAGGAGGUGUGGUAACGGCCAAUAAACACGGCUAAGCGGCUGUUCUUAGGCACGACGCAACGCGGAGUGCCUGGAUACAGUCCUUCGCCGUGGUAUAUGGCUAUAUAUCACAAUCCCCAGAGGUGCCUCAUUGCUAUAUCAAACGGGUUAUCAAUGUAAUGUAGGGCCCUAAAAAAAUGUUUUUGUAUUUUACCUGAUAACCAUGCCGGUCAGCCAAUCAGCAUUGAGCUCGAACCCACC